UAGAGUAAGAUCACUACCUCUGAUCUUAAAUUCAAGUCUUUAAUCAUCAUUUUUUAUGAGAUUUUUAUUUUCAUCCGUUCAUUUUUAGACUACUCGUUUGAUAGGUAAAUGAUGCCGAAAAAUUAUGAAAUUUAGUUUCCAAAUACUUUCGAUAGUGUAGAUCAAGUCUAACAGAGCCGAUCGUCGAUUUAGAAGGCGCAUCAUUGAAAACAACUUGGUAGCACGGAGGCCUCCGUGCUACCGAUAGUAUACUAGCCUGGCUCUAUAGAGAG
rnacentral:lncRNA from 1 species